UGGGGAAUAUUGGACAAUGGGCGAAAGCCUGAUCCAGCCAUGCCGCGUGUGUGAAGAAGGUCUUCGGAUUGUAAAGCACUUUAAGUUGGGAGGAAGGGCAGUAAGCGAAUACCUUGCUGUUUUGACGUUACGGACAGAAUAAGACCCGGCUAACUCUGGGCCAGCAGCCGCGGUAAUACAGAGGGUGCAAGCGUUAAUCGGAAUUACUGGGGGUAAAGCGCGCGUAGGUGGUUCGUUAAGUUGAAUGUGAAAGCCCCGGGCUCAACCUGGGAACUGCAUCCAAAACUGGCGAGCUAGAGUAGGGCAGAGGGUGGUGGAAUUUCCUGUGUAGCGGUGAAAUGCGUAGAUAUAGGAAGGAACACCAGUGGCGAAGGCGACCACCUGGGCUCAUACUGACACUGAGGUGCGAAAGCGUGGGGAGCAAACAGG
rnacentral:rRNA from 1 species